AGUGAACGCUGGCGGUAGGCCUAACACAUGCAAGUCGAACGGCAGCACAGUAAGAGCUCGCUCUUACGGGUGGCGAGUGGCGGACGGGUGAGGAAUACAUCGGAAUCUACUUUUUCGUGGGGGAUAACGUAGGGAAACUUACGCUAAUACCGCAUACUACCUACGGGUGAAAGCAGGGGAUCUUCGGACCUUGCGCGAUUGAAUGAGCCGAUGUCGGAUUAGCUAGUUGGCGGGGUAAAGGCCCACCAAGGCGACGAUCCGUAGCUGGUCUGAGAGGAUGAUCAGCCACACUGGAACUGAGACACGGUCCAGACUCCUACGGGAGGCAGCAGUGGGGAAUAUUGGACAAUGGGCGCAAGCCUGAUCCAGCCAUACCGCGUGGGUGAAGAAGGCCUUCGGGUUGUAAAGCCCUUUUGUUGGGAAAGAAAAGCAGCAGGUUAAUACCCCGCUGUUCUGACGGUACCCAAAGAAUAAGCACCGGCUAACUUCGUG
rnacentral:rRNA from 1 species